rnacentral:rRNA from 1 species
UACGUAGGGCGCAAGCGUUGUCCGGAUUCACUGGGUGUAAAGGGUGCGCAGGCGGGAAAGUAAGUUAGAGGUGAAAUCUCACAGCUCAACUGUGAAACGGCCUUUGAUACUGCUUUUCUUGAGUUAGGGAGAGGUUGAUGGAAUUCCAGGUGUAGCGGUGAAAUGCGUAGAUAUCUGGAAGAACACCGGUGGCGAAGGCGGUCAACUGGCCCUAAACUGACGCUCAGGCCACGAAAGCGUGGGGAUCAAACAGGAUUAGGAAACCCUG